AGCGUAGGCGGCUUGGCAAGUCUGAUGUGAAAGCCCAGGGCUCAACCCUGGGACUGCAUUGGAAACUGUCAGGCUAGAGUGCAGGAGAGGUAAGUGGAAUUCCUAGUGUAGCGGUGAAAUGCGUAGAUAUUAGGAGGAACACCAGUGGCGAAGGCGGCUUACUGGACUGUAACUGACGCUGAGGCUCGAAAGCGUGGGGAGCAAACAGGAUUAGAUACCCUGGUAGUCCACGCUGUAAACGAUGAAUACUAGGUGUCGGGUCCGUCAAGGAUUCGGUGCCGCAGCUAACGCAAUAAGUAUUCCACCUGGGGAGUACGUUCGCAAGAAUGAA
rnacentral:rRNA from 1 species